rnacentral:tRNA from 1 species
GCGGAUGUGGUGGAAUUGGUAGACACGCACGCUUGAGGGGCGUGUGGCUUCGCUGUGCGAGUUCGAGUCUCGCCAUCCGCA